ACUCUCACAGCCCCAUCAAGAGCAGAGGAAAGACCCUCACUCGAACAUGAAAGAAAAAGGGGAGGAUGAAAAUGAAAAGUCGAUGAACUACUUCUGUGAUAAGUAAAAACAAACUACAUCAAAGACAUAAGGAACUUCGUCUCAGUCGUAAAGAGGGAACCUGACAUAGGCCGAGAAUAAAUCGACCUCCUCAAAGCAACGAGAAGUUCGGACCCCC
rnacentral:lncRNA from 1 species